UACGAAGGGGGCUAGCGUUGCUCGGAAUUACUGGGCGUAAAGGGCGCGUAGGCGGCGCUGCAAGUCAGGCGUGAAAUUCCUGGGCUUAACCUGGGAACUGCGCUUGUAACUGGCAAGCUAGAGUGUGGCAGAGGGGGGUGGAAUUCCAGGUGUAGCAGUGAAAUGCGUAGAUAUCUGGAGGAACACCGAUGGCGAAGGCAGCCCCCUGGGCUAACACUGACGCUCAUGCACGAAAGCGUGGGGAGCAAACAGG
rnacentral:rRNA from 1 species